UGGCGGGACGGGGUGGAGUAAUGUCUGGGAAACUAGCCUGAUGGAGGGGGAUAACUACUGGAAACGGUAGCUAAUACCGCAUAACGUCGCAAGACCAAAGAGGGGGACCUUCGGGCCUCUUGCCAUCGGAUGUGCCCAGAUGGGAUUAGCUAGUAGGUGGGGUAAAGGCUCACCUAGGCGACGAUCCCUAGCUGGUCUGAGAGGAUGACCAGCCACACUGGAACUGGGACACGGUCCAG
rnacentral:rRNA from 1 species